rnacentral:siRNA from 1 species
CAAAUGCUCAAGGAACGCUACC